GACGAACCGUGCGAACGUUGUUCGGAAUCACUGGGCUUAAAGGGCGCGUAGGCGGGCCAGCCAGUCUGGGGUGAAAGCCCCGGCUCAACCGGGGAAUUGCCUGGGAUACUGCUGGCCUGGAGGCAGGUAGGGCGGCCGGAACUUCCGGUGGAGCGGUGAAAUGUGUUGAUAUCGGAAGGAACUCCGGUGGCGAAAGCGGGCCGCUGGACCUCGCCUGACGCUGAGGCGCGAAAGCCAGGGGAGCGAACGGG
rnacentral:rRNA from 1 species